AGUGAACGCUGGCGGUAGGCCUAACACAUGCAAGUCGAACGGCAGCACAGUAAGAGCUUGCUCUUACGGGUGGUGAGUGGCGGACGGGUGAGGAAUACAUCGGAAUCUACUUUUUCGUGGGGGAUAACGUAGGGAAACUUACGCUAAUACCGCAUACGACCUACGGGUGAAAGCAGGGGAUCUUCGGACCUUGCGCGAUUGAAUGAGCCGAUGUCGGAUUAGCUAGUUGGCGGGGUAAAGGCCCACCAAGGCGACGAUCCGUAGCUGGUCUGAGAGGAUGAUCAGCCACGCUGGAACUGAGACACGGUCCAGACUCCUACGGGAGGCAGCAGUGGGGAAUAUUGGACAAUGGGCGCAAGCCUGAUCCAGCCAUACCGCGUGGGUGAAGAAGGCCUUCGGGUUGUAAAGCCCUUUUGUUGGGAAAGAAAAGCAGCAGGUUAAUACCCCGCUGUUCUGACGGUACCCAAAGAAUAAGCACCGGCUAACUUCGUG
rnacentral:rRNA from 1 species